GCGUGUUUCCGUCAACAAUUUGUUUGUGUAGACAGAAGAGGCUACAGUUUUCAUCCAAUCUUUAUGAAAUUUGGUCAGAAUGUUUAUCUUGAUGAAUCUGGGUUGGGAUUGUAUUUGGGUCAUCAGGGGUCAAAAACUAGGUCACUAGGUCAAAUAAUAUACAAACCUUGUGUAGACAAUAGAGGUCAUAGUUUUCAUCCAAUCUUUAUGAAAUUUAGUCAGAAUGUUUAUCUUAAUCAAAUCUGGGUUGGGAUUGUAUUUGGGUCAUCUGGGGUCAAAAACUAGGUCACUAGGUCAAAUAAUAGAAAAAAACUUGUGUAGACAAUAGAGGUCACAGUUUUCAUCCAAUCUUUAUGAAAUUUGGUCAGAAUGUUUAUCUUGAUGAAAUCUGGGUUGGGUUGUAUUUAGGUCAUCUGGGGUCAAAGUCUAGGUCACUAGGUCAAAUAAUAUAAAAACCUUGUGUAGACAAUAGAGGUCACAGUUUUCAUCAGAUGUUUAUGAAAUUUGGUCAGAAUGUUUAUCUUAAUAAUAUCUGAUUUUGGAUCGUAUAUGGGUCAUCUGGGGUCAAAAUUAGGUCACCGGGCCAAUUCUAGUAAAACCUUGUGUAGAUGAAAGAGAUCACAGUUUUCAUCAUGUCUUAAUGAAAUUUUGUCAGAAUGUAUUAAUUAAUGAAAUCGGGCUUGGGAUUGUAUAUGGGUAUGAUAGAAUUUAAGUUGCUGUAGCAAGGUUAGUCAGGUGAGCGAUUUAGGGCCAUCAUGACCCUCUUGUUUUUGUUAGUUUCUGUGAUUAUGAUUUUUGUCUAAUAACAGAGGUUUUACCGGAUACGCAAUCAUGCAUGCCAUAUGUCCUUAUCUUGGCGGGAAACACCCGUUUUCGGGAUACCAGUCAUACGUUCUAUACAUGCGACUAUUUUUGCUGACAUUAACCUACUGGAGUCUCCCAUCCUUUUAAAUUGGAUCAAUUUAUUUCCAAAAUUAGGGAUGUCUAGUAUAUUUAUUUCUAUAUUUAGAAUAUUUCUUACAGAAAUUGCUUUAAGGAAACAGUGCAGACCCUGAUGAGACUCCACAUCAUGCAGCGCCUUAUCUGGGUCUACGCUGUUUGCCAAGGCCUUUUUUCUAGACGCUAGGCAUAAAUGGGUUAAGAAAAAACUGUGCUUGUACUAUAAGUAUACUUUAAAUGUGAAAAAAAGUUAAGUAAAAUUUUACCAGCAUUCACUUUUGUAUUGCACAAUAAAUAGCUAGCAUUAAUGUGUUUAACCAUUCUGUCACAAACAGAAGCGGAAUUUGUUCAGUCAGAUGUAUGGGAAAAACUAUAGCCAUGAGUGUAAUGUGUAUGUGUUUAUAUUUUUUGCUUUAUAUAUGUGUUUUAAGUUUUAAUAUAAUGACUCCAGUCUUUUCUUUCAAUGGCUGUGUGUUAAGGCUCUCUUAUAUGUGCCAGGCUUAACGAUACUUCACAAACAUGAAUUAAGCAGUUGUCCUAUUUUUGCUCUCUUUUAUUUUAAAGUGCAACAAGCUGCAAUUAUUUUGAUGACAUGAUCUGCUAACAUUCUUUGCUUUUUAAGUUAAUAUGUAUUGUUUAUUUUUAAGACUUAUUUUUUCUUGUUGUUGAUUUUGUUAUUUUACAACAAUAAUGUGUUUUGUGUCCUGUGUAGAAUCGUCUUUGUUUGUCAUGUAUCAAACUAUAACUAUUUUUUCUAUGCCAGUAAAAAACUUACAUCCAAUAUUUAUUGCCAUUAAAUCACAAGUAAUUGUGCCUUGGUUAUUUAGAACCCAAACAAUAUAACGUUUCUCACAUCUUAGUGACAAUAAAGCAAAUCUUAAAUUAUAAUGUAUAUUUUAUUAGCUCAUCUAAGAACAAUGUGCUCAUUGUGAACUUGUAUGAUUGCCUUUUGUACGGCAUAUAAAUCAUGUGUUGUGUAUGGUUAACCCUUUGCAUGCUGGGUAAUUUGUCAUCUGCUAAAAUGUCAUCUGCUGAAUUACUAAAAUUAGCAUUUUCUUCGAUUUUUUUCAAAGAAUACUAUCAGAAUAGCAAACAGUUUGGAUCCAGAUGAGACGCCACGUUCUGUGGCGUCUCAUCUGGAUCCAAACUGUGUGCAAAGGCCUUAAAAAUUCGGUUCCAGCACUGUAAGGUUUAACAUUUAUCGUGUUAAUAAUCAAGAUGCCACAUUUUUGUCCGAUCUUCAUGAAACUCUGCGGGACAACUUUUCUCAUAUGGCCGUAAUAAAGCCUUGUUACACUCUAAAAGACACAUUCUUUGAAGAACAUAUGCCCAAAUGAAAUCUUGUCUUAGAUUGAUUUUGGUCACUUGUUCAAAUAAAAUAAAGCCUUUUAACACUUGAAAAGUCAAUUUUUUGUCAAAUCUUUAUGAACGUUAAUUUUGUUUUAAUGAUAUAUAAGCCAUGUUUGAAAAUAACAAUAGGAUCCAAGGAGUCAACUGUAUUAUUUAUUUGUCCUUAGUGAGUGAAGUGAAAUUGUUUAAAAGUAUGACACUAAAAUAUAGUUACCGUAUUAAUUAUACUUGUAUUACACUUGUAUGUGCAUAAAUAUAGGAAAUAAAUAGUGAUUAUGAGUGUUUUGUAAGAUGAAUGUAGCUUUUGUUUCUAUAAAUUUUAGGGUAAUUGGUAAAUACAACGGAGGUCUCUGUGAAAACCAGGUUUGAUGCAUGUAAAGUAUAGUUGGAGAUUAGCCUGUUAAGUCCGCUGCAGCUUAUUAGGGAUAAAAACUGUCUGCUGAGACUGAAUAUUUGUAUAUAAAAGACUUCCUUUGAAAAACAAAAUUCAUUAAAAGAAGAAAGUGUCAAUUUUGAUAAGCAUGUGGGACUGCACAGUUUAAUCUUUGGCAAUAUUUUGGGCACAUGGAUGAAGCUUAGAUGUCCAUUAAACUGGCUCAAUUAUUUAUGUCUUUCUUGUUUUACAUAUUGCUUGAAUUGUUUUGUUUAUAACUAAAGCAAACCACUUUCAAACCUGCUUGAUGAUUAUUCCAUCAAUCUAUUUCCAAGUUCAAUCAAUUAUAAUUCAAUUGACAAUUGCAUUCAAUUAUGGAUUUAUAAUAAAUAACAGUUGUUU